UACCUCCCUGAUCGGAAGGGUUUCCUUCCGAUCAACGAGGUACAUUGAGCGGAAGGGGUUCCUUCCGGUCAACAAGGAUGUACCUCGUUGACCGGAAGGAAACUCUUCCGGUCAACGAGGUA
rnacentral:miRNA from 1 species